rnacentral:rRNA from 1 species
AAGCUGGAUUCGCUAGUAAUCGCGCAUCAGCCAUGGCCCGCGGUGAAUACGUUCCCGGGCCUUGUACACACCGCCCGUCAAGCCAUGAAAGCCGGGGGUACCUGAAGUACGUAACCGCAAGGAUCGUCCUAGGGUAAAACUGGUAAUUGGGGCUAAGUCGUAACAAGGUACC